rnacentral:rRNA from 1 species
GGGUUGUGAGGUUAAGCGACUAAGCGUACACGGUGGAUGCCCUGGCAGUCAGAGGCGAUGAAGGACGUGCUAAUCUGCGAUAAGCGUCGGUAAGGUGAUAUGAACCGUUAUAACCGGCGAUUUCCGAAUGGGGAAACCCAGUGUGUUUCGACACACUAUCAUUAACUGAAUCCAUAGGUUAAUGAGGCGAACCGGGGGAACUGAAACAUCUAAGUACCCCGAGGAAAAGAAAUCAACCGAGAUUCCCCCAGUAGCGGCGAGCGAACGGGGAGCAGCCCAGAGCCUGAAUCAGUGUGUGUGUUAGUGGAAGCGUCUGGAAAGGCGCGCGAUACAGGGUGACAGCCCCGUACACAAAAAUGCACAUGCUGUGAGCUCGAUGAGUAGGGCGGGACACGUGGUAUCCUGUCUGAAUAUGGGGGGACCAUCCUCCAAGGCUAAAUACUCCUGACUGACCGAUAGUGAACCAGUACCGUGAGGGAAAGGCGAAAAGAACCCCGGCGAGGGGAGUGAAAAAGAACCUGAAACCGUGUACGUACAAGCAGUGGGAGCCUCUUUAUGGGGUGACUGCGUACCUUUUGUAUAAUGGGUCAGCGACUUAUAUUCUGUAGCAAGGUUAACCGAAUAGGGGAGCCGAAGGGAAACCGAGUCUUAACUGGGCGUUAAGUUGCAGGGUAUAGACCCGAAACCCGGUGAUCUAGCCAUGGGCAGGUUGAAGGUUGGGUAACACUAACUGGAGGACCGAACCGACUAAUGUUGAAAAAUUAGCGGAUGACUUGUGGCUGGGGGUGAAAGGCCAAUCAAACCGGGAGAUAGCUGGUUCUCCCCGAAAGCUAUUUAGGUAGCGCCUCGUGAAUUCAUCUCCGGGGGUAGAGCACUGUUUCGGCAAGGGGGUCAUCCCGACUUACCAACCCGAUGCAAACUGCGAAUACCGGAGAAUGUUAUCACGGGAGACACACGGCGGGUGCUAACGUCCGUCGUGAAGAGGGAAACAACCCAGACCGCCAGCUAAGGUCCCAAAGUCAUGGUUAAGUGGGAAACGAUGUGGGAAGGCCCAGACAGCCAGGAUGUUGGCUUAGAAGCAGCCAUCAUUUAAAGAAAGCGUAAUAGCUCACUGGUCGAGUCGGCCUGCGCGGAAGAUGUAACGGGGCUAAACCAUGCACCGAAGCUGCGGCAGCGACACUAUGUGUUGUUGGGUAGGGGAGCGUUCUGUAAGCCGUUGAAGGUGUGCUGUGAGGCAUGCUGGAGGUAUCAGAAGUGCGAAUGCUGACAUAAGUAACGAUAAAGCGGGUGAAAAGCCCGCUCGCCGGAAGACCAAGGGUUCCUGUCCAACGUUAAUCGGGGCAGGGUGAGUCGACCCCUAAGGCGAGGCCGAAAGGCGUAGUCGAUGGGAAACAGGUUAAUAUUCCUGUACUUGGUGUUACUGCGAAGGGGGGACGGAGAAGGCUAUGUUGGCCGGGCGACGGUUGUCCCGGUUUAAGCGUGUAGGCUGGUUUUCCAGGCAAAUCCGGAAAAUCAAGGCUGAGGCGUGAUGACGAGGCACUACGGUGCUGAAGCAACAAAUGCCCUGCUUCCAGGAAAAGCCUCUAAGCAUCAGGUAACAUCAAAUCGUACCCCAAACCGACACAGGUGGUCAGGUAGAGAAUACCAAGGCGCUUGAGAGAACUCGGGUGAAGGAACUAGGCAAAAUGGUGCCGUAACUUCGGGAGAAGGCACGCUGAUAUGUAGGUGAAGCGACUUGCUCGUGGAGCUGAAAUCAGUCGAAGAUACCAGCUGGCUGCAACUGUUUAUUAAAAACACAGCACUGUGCAAACACGAAAGUGGACGUAUACGGUGUGACGCCUGCCCGGUGCCGGAAGGUUAAUUGAUGGGGUCAGCGCAAGCGAAGCUCUUGAUCGAAGCCCCGGUAAACGGCGGCCGUAACUAUAACGGUCCUAAGGUAGCGAAAUUCCUUGUCGGGUAAGUUCCGACCUGCACGAAUGGCGUAAUGAUGGCCAGGCUGUCUCCACCCGAGACUCAGUGAAAUUGAACUCGCUGUGAAGAUGCAGUGUACCCGCGGCAAGACGGAAAGACCCCGUGAACCUUUACUAUAGCUUGACACUGAACAUUGAGCCUUGAUGUGUAGGAUAGGUGGGAGGCUUUGAAGUGUGGACGCCAGUCUGCAUGGAGCCGACCUUGAAAUACCACCCUUUAAUGUUUGAUGUUCUAACGUAGACCCGUGAUCCGGGUUGCGGACAGUGUCUGGUGGGUAGUUUGACUGGGGCGGUCUCCUCCUAAAGAGUAACGGAGGAGCACGAAGGUUGGCUAAUCCUGGUCGGACAUCAGGAGGUUAGUGCAAUGGCAUAAGCCAGCUUGACUGCGAGCGUGACGGCGCGAGCAGGUGCGAAAGCAGGUCAUAGUGAUCCGGUGGUUCUGAAUGGAAGGGCCAUCGCUCAACGGAUAAAAGGUACUCCGGGGAUAACAGGCUGAUACCGCCCAAGAGUUCAUAUCGACGGCGGUGUUUGGCACCUCGAUGUCGGCUCAUCACAUCCUGGGGCUGAAGUAGGUCCCAAGGGUAUGGCUGUUCGCCAUUUAAAGUGGUACGCGAGCUGGGUUUAGAACGUCGUGAGACAGUUCGGUCCCUAUCUGCCGUGGGCGCUGGAGAACUGAGGGGGGCUGCUCCUAGUACGAGAGGACCGGAGUGGACGCAUCACUGGUGUUCGGGUUGUCAUGCCAAUGGCACUGCCCGGUAGCUAAAUGCGGAAGAGAUAAGUGCUGAAAGCAUCUAAGCACGAAACUUGCCCCGAGAUGAGUUCUCCCUGACUCCUUGAGAGUCCUGAAGGAACGUUGAAGACGACGACGUUGAUAGGCCGGGUGUGUAAGCGCAGCGAUGCGUUGAGCUAACCGGUACUAAUGAACCGUGAGGCUUAACCUUACAACGCCGAAG